rfam:Myotis davidii contig319209, whole genome shotgun sequence.
GGCAGAUCUCAGAUGACAAACCCCAGCAUUGGGUUCCCUCUUCUCUGGUCCUGGGGUGCGUCACCCGAGAACCACA